ensembl:lncRNA
GCACCGAUUGUGAAGAAUGGACUGUGUACUUUAUCAGGUUGGGCCAGUAAGGGAAGACUGCUGGCUGAGUCACCGUCUGAGCAGCGUUUUCGGGAGCAAUCUCCCGAACAGGAAGAGAGGCCUUCUCUAGAAGCAGUAGGAAGGGGCCCGGAGGCUGUGGGGAAACCACAAGCAGUCCCAGGGCUGGGAGCAGAGCCCCCAGGCUCACACACCUUGACCGCUUCCCAGGGGGAAUGAGCAGGACAAGUUCAAAGACAUCAGAAGUCGGUCUCUGAGACGGACAGGAAAACGAUGCUUUCUACUUAGCCGCCAGAAGAGUUUAAAGUCUGAGGCUUCAUAGACAUUCAAAGAACCCAGAGCAAUCCUGAGAGGACCUCAGAGAGAACACCUGCUUGCCUUCUGAGUCCUCCUGACGAAGAGGAGAAUGUGCCCUGUCGACGAAAAUAAUCCAUAACCAAUCUAUAAACAAGAAUUUGGUCAACUUCGAGACUGCUCUGUCAGCACAGCGAUUGAUGGACGCAGCAGGUAGCAGGUCUGCUGUCUUGGUGAACACAGCAGGGUGGCAGGUCUGUUGUCUCAAGCUGGGUGGUCACAGGUGAGCACAG